rnacentral:tRNA from 1 species
UUGGGUAUAAUUAAUCGGGACGCCUGCCUUGGGAGCAGGAGGUCGCAGGUUCGAAUCCUGCCGCCCCGACCA